UGGGGGAUCGUCUAAUGGUAGGACAGCAGGUUCUGGCCCUGCCGGUGGGGGUUCGAGUCCCUCUCCCCCAGCCA
rnacentral:tRNA from 1 species